rnacentral:rRNA from 1 species
UACGAAGGGGGCUAGCGUUGCUCGGAAUCACUGGGCGUAAAGCGCACGUAGGCGGCUUUUUAAGUCAGGGGUGAAAUCCUGGAGCUCAACUCCAGAACUGCCUUUGAUACUGGGAAGCUUGAGUCCGGGAGAGGUGAGUGGAACUCCGAGUGUAGAGGUGAAAUUCGUAGAUAUUCGGAAGAACACCAGUGGCGAAGGCGGUUGCCUGGAGCUUUGCUGACGCUGAGGCGCGAAAGCGUGGGAGCGAUCCGG